rnacentral:rRNA from 1 species
GGCGAACGCUGGCGGCGUGCCUAAUACAUGCAAGUUGAGCGCUGAAGGUUGGUACUUGUACCGACUGGAUGAGCAGCGAACGGGUGAGUAACGCGUGGGGAAUCUGCCUUUGAGCGGGGGACAACAUUUGGAAACGAAUGCUAAUACCGCAUAAAAACUUUAAACACAAGUUUUAAGUUUGAAAGAUGCAAUUGCAUCACUCAAAGAUGAUCCCGCGUUGUAUUAGCUAGUUGGUGAGGUAAAGGCUCACCAAGGCGAUGAUACAUAGCCGACCGGCGAGGGUGAUCGGCCACAUUGGGGCUGGGACACGGCCCAAACUCCUACGGGAGGCAGCAGUAGGGAAUCUUCGGCAAUGGACGAAAGUCUGACCGAGCAACGCCGCGUGAGUGAAGAAGGUUUUCGGAUCGUAAACCUCUGUUGGUAGAGAAGAACGUUGGUGAGAGUGGAAAGCUCAUCAAGUGACGGUAACUACCCAGAAAGGGACGGCUAACUACGUGCCAGCAGCCGCCGUAA